UACGUAGGGGGCAAGCGUUGUCCGGAUUUAUUGGGCGUAAAGAGCUCGUAGGUGGUUCGGUAAGUCGGAUGUGAAAUCUCCAGGCUCAACCUGGAGGGGUCAUUCGAUACUGCCGUGACUAGAGGUCGGUAGGGGAGUGUGGAAUUCCUGGUGGAGCGGUGAAAUGCGCAGAUAUCAGGAGGAACACCAGUGGCGAAGGCGGCGCUCUGGGCUGGAACUGACGCUGAUGCGCGACAGCGUGGGGAGCAAACAGG
rnacentral:rRNA from 1 species